UACGGAGGGUGCAAACGUUGCUCGGAAUCAUUGGGCGUAAAGCGCACGUAGGCGGCGCGUUAAGUCGGAUGUGAAAGCCCCGAGCUUAACUUGGGAAUUGCGCUUGUGACUGGCGGGCUGGAGUGUGGCAGAGGGAGGUGGAAUUCCACGUGUAGCAGUGAAAUGCGUAGAGAUGUGGAGGAACACCGAUGGCGAAGGCAGCCUCCUGGGCCAGCACUGACGCUCAUGCACGAAAGCGUGGGGAGCAAACAGG
rnacentral:rRNA from 1 species